rnacentral:rRNA from 1 species
AUUGAACGCUGGCGGCAUGCCUUACACAUGCAAGUCGAACGGUAACAGGUCUUCGGACGCUGACGAGUGGCGAACGGGUGAGUAAUACAUCGGAACGUGCCCAGCCGUGGGGGAUAACUACUCGAAAGAGUAGCUAAUACCGCAUACGAUCUGAGGAUGAAAGCGGGGGAUCGCAAGACCUCGCGCAAUUGGAGCGGCCGAUGCCCGAUUAGCUAGUUGGUGAGGUAAAGGCUCACCAAGGCGACGAUCGGUAGCUGGUCUGAGAGGACGACCAGCCACACUGGGACUGAGACACGGCCCAG